GACUCAAAAGAAGAUUAUUUGAAAAAAAGUAAAUCUUUUUUUAAAUACGCCGAGCUGGCCGUUUAAAAUUUUCAAAGAAAAGAAAACAAAAGAUAAAUUUGUACAUUAUCUUCAUGACAUACAAUUUGAUGUUAUUUUAAUCAAAACGAACGUACCUAUGGUGUUGUGUUGAAAGGAAAGGGAAGGAGUAUCAAUGGAUAUGGCAAAUGACAGAACAAAAUGGAAGGAACUUACAUACUGUGCCGACCCCACAUGAGCGGGAUAAGGUCAAGAAGAAGAAGAAGAUUCUAUUUAUAUAGGGUUAAGAAGAAAAUUCAGAUCAGUUGUCCCUGAGUUGCCUCGAACGAUGUACGCAGGACGGGAACCACAUGUCAGAAUGGAUCUGGCGUUUGUUUUGUCAGUCACAAUCACUGCUUAUCAAAUACCUCAAUUUUCACGUGUUGUCUACGUGACCAUCAAAAGCAUGUGUACAAACGUAUGUGUGAAGAGAAACAUUCGCUCGUUUUGAUUAUAUUUUAGGGUUAUUUCAAUAUAUUUUAGGGUUUAAUAUUGGUCUUUGUUAUCUCUAUUUAAACAACUAUAGUGCAACUGUUACGAGUAAUAAUAUGCAUCUGGGAUUUCAGAAUAGAUAGGCUAACUAAACCACCAAUUCGCAUUCGGCAAUAGGAUCCAAUAAAUUCCUGUAAUCUGCUUGAGUUGGAAGAAACAGGAGCUGUUUAAUGUAAUAAGGAUAUCGAUAUUGGAUUUGAAUCCUAUUUUCAAUGUACACGUCGCUUCGUCACUUAAUGUACAAUCCAAUAGGGUAUUUCAUACCCAAAAAGAAUAAGAUAUACAAAAGUACUUAAUAAUUUAAUGUCACUUGUUGACAUAUAUCUAAUAUUUAUUUAAACAAAAGCUUCUGACUAUAGCCUGCAACUUUAUAGGUACACGCCGUCUCAACCUAUCGCCGGUUGACUGUAAGAGAUCCAUAAAUAGUUACUUUACAUCACCAGAUUAUAAUCUGGAUAUGUGACGUGACGCAUCAUAAACACGGGAUUUCAAAAAUUGUAUUCGAUCUAAUUUAUUUCGACUCCGCAUGGAAUUGUAGUCGGUUUCGAGAAACUCAAGUAAAUUAAGUUCUUCGUCACACAUCUAAUAUAAACGAACAAUCCAAUAAGUAUUAGACAACUGAAAAUACUACCGAAAAUUAAUUUGAAAAUCAUUAAUUACCAAAAUAAAAAUAAUCAUUUUUACCUUACAGCACUGUGUUUAGCCGAUAUAAAAGUAGAAAUAAACCGCAAUACGCUUUGCUGCUCAAAAAAAACACUAAAGUCAAACGAAAUCGGGAUGGAAGGUCGGGAAAGGAAUAUUUCUUUGCCAAUUUUCAUUUGCUAAUUUAGACGCAAAAGUAUUUUUUUAUAAUAAAUAAUAGAAAAGUUUUUAUAAACGAAUAGCAAAUUAAUAAUUGCUGUUGUUUGCUCCAAGUUAACGAAGUUUCGACUGGGUCGCCCAGGCAAAUAAAUAUAAUGCAACAAACUUUUAAUAAGUAGGUGCAUUGUUAAGAGGAUUCUGAUACAUAAAAAACAAAUAAAAAUUCCAUGAAUGGAUGAAAGGCGUAAUGCACGCUCGCCACUCUGAGGUUCUGUUUCCAGCGUGGAGUUUGUCUGUGGUUCUGGGUGUGUUGUGUUGUGUUAAUUUCUAUUUGUUUCCAUCGGGCUUGCGAAGUUUAGGAAUGCUGAGUGUUGUCCAUUUAUUAUUAUUAUUUUGUAUCACCUCACCUAAUAGUUCUGCACCUCGAUAUGAGAACUUACAGAGAAAAAUGGUUAAUCAUGUGACUUAAUAACUAAUUGUGGGGAAACUUCUCCCUUCGUUGGGAAAUUAUAUUUUUAUCUUUCACCGCCAGCCAUUCGGGUAAAUGAGCCGUUAAUCCAACCCUUAGAAAUGGGGGUGUGUACACAUUUGAGUAAAAAAGUGUUAUUUUGGAAACGGCCAAUCAUAUUUACCGUCUCUAUUGACUCUUAGCCAAUAUUAAUCUUAGCUUUUGAUGAAAAUACAUUGAAUGUGCCAGCAAAAAUUCAUCCCACGCACAUAUUAAAAGAAAACGAUAUGAAGAUUGAUUCUUCUCAAAAUAAUUCUAUCAAUGAGUCCAAGAUCCUGAACUUGGCUUUAAAGUUGUCGAACUCUUUGUUAGGUCUCAACGUUAAAAAAAGUUUCAACUUAUCUAUUUGGACAUUAGUAAUGUAUAUCGUAAUUUUUUGUAUCAUUGACAUUUAAUAUCGAGGUUUCCAUGUUAGCUUAAUUAAAUGUUCGAGGACGUUUGGUGAGUAUUUUUGGGCACAUACUAUUUUUUGCAGUCAAAAAUCUUUCCUGUACCGCAGAACUUGAUAAUGAGAAAGGUUAAUCUGGCUGAAUGAAAUUUUAGGUUUCUGUAGUAAAUAAGAUAACCAUUGUAUAUAUUGGUGUACUUAUACACAUUGCCUUAGUGCGAACACUGUUCUAAUGUUGUUUUAUUAAAUAAAUAAAUGUCUGUCCGCCCGUCCGCUGGUUGGUGAUAGCAUCAACUUAGCCCUAUUAGUACUAGAUACUCUAGAUAGCUGUAAUUUGGUAGAGAUAGACAAUUGAAUUUAACUGCUUGAAAAAAAUAUUUUUGACUCGUGGUCCCACCCAGUUUGUCCCACUGUUACUCACGGUCCCAAAAAUACCUGUUACGGUCCUACACGCGUGGGAAUGGGAAUGCGUCCAUCUAACUCAUAUAUAUUAGUUUCAAUUGACCAUCACUUAAUACCGGUAAAAAACAUCGCAAUGGAAGAGUUAUGGUAAACCACUCCAAUAAUAGUGCCUAGGAAGUUGUAGUGUGAUUUACAUACCGCAUAAUGGCCACAACCCUCAGCUAUGAGGAAUUCGACGUUAAUUUUUAAAGGGUAUAUAGAUUGGUUAUUGUUAAUUCUCGGAAUACCCUCAAUUACUGCGUCGUAUGUUUUCCAAUCGAGGAAUAGGAUGAGUUGUCAUCUGCUUCACCUUUCUAAUCUCCCGAUCCAAUUGUCUUCUAAAUAAUCCAGUACUUUUCUCAAAGGAUUUGAGUUAUGUACAAAAAAUGUAGAGUCCAAAAGUUGAUUGUAGGCUUCAGUAAGUUAAUUGGAAAGUCCAUUAAAAAAAAUAAAAAAAAAAACUCAACCAUCGUAAAAAGAAAAAAUUAGGAACAACUUUUAUUAAGGAGUUAUCACGACAAAUCGAAUAAUUAAGGUACCUGUCGAACAAACAUAGCUUUUUUCGCUAGGAUAUUACUCUAUCGUGACGUUACGUUGGAGUAUUAUUUAUUAUGGAGCAUUUGUACAAGUCCAAAAAUGUGAUUAAUGAUUUAUUUUUGUCAUAUCUUUAUUAUUUGUCACAUUGUAAUUAUUACAGUAAUUAUUUCACUGGUGUUUUUAAUAACUUUGUGAUUUAUUAAUAUUAGUUGUUUCCAUUCGUUAUUUUUUUCUGUAUUUGCAUUUCACAAAUAAAACACAUGUGUUACUCACGAGUCAUUUAGAAGGGAGAUAAUUUUAAUAGUUUACCUAAUUAUUUUGUCGGUUCCUAAGCUUCUGAAAACAACCAUUAAAUGUAUUUCAACCAUUUGGUUCCGCAUAUGUAAUUUUUGAUUCAAAACACUAUUCCUUAACCUUACAUUAAAAAUAAACACCUGAGUGCGCGCUUUUAGGGAAAUUGAUUUAUCUUGCUUACAGUAUAAGCGUGAAUACAUGUAUUUUUGGGGUCAGUUCACCCGGAAUUAGGUUAAGAGGCAUAUUAUCCGGUUCACGCUUGGCUGAACUAAACAGCUCGAAAGAGCACCGCUGAAUACCCGAAGACAUAGCGUAGCGAUAAACGCGGCAAAGCAGCGGCGUUGAGGCACGAUGCAUCGUUAUGAAAUGUCUUUACUUGUCGCCUAUAUGUGGUCGCAGUAAUUACACAUGUUCCUGCAUUGUGCAACGUUUUGUCGAUCACCACAUGAGCUGUCAAAUUGUGGUCUAAGGGAAAAAUUUUGGUGAUGAUGUUCUUUUAAUUCUUUGAAUUUUUCUUUGUUUGAAUUUUAAUUUGUCUUCUUUACUUGUUUUACUCAAUUAAGUUAAACUUAUAAAUCACACACAUCUAUUUAAAAAUCUUAAUUGGGAAGAUUUAAAAGUUCAGUUUAGACUGAAUGAGACUGUAUAAUUGUAUCAAUAAUGAAACAAAAAUGUAUCAUGAACGUGGAAAAAAUUAUUGAAAGAAGAUGACAAACAAAAGAAAUUAUAAAACUUAAGUAAAAAAGAGAUUAUAAUUAAAGUUGUAAUACAGACAACACAAUAUUUGAAAGAUUAUUAGGUAUCAUAGGAAUAUUGACAAACAAUAUAUUAAAUCAAAAAAGAACUUAGAGAAAAUAAAUUACAUAUUAAUACGUCUAUCCCACACGGGGUAGACUGAGUAAGAGUCGCGAAACCUGAAUACUAUAUUUACUCGUAGCUGGAUAGCGAGCUUAUUUCUAUAAUAAGUACUUGUCUAAACAAAAACCAGCGAGCCAGCCAAUUGCCUGGAAAAAAGGAAAACAUAUCCUCUUAAAAAUGUAUAAGGUUUGUUCAUUUACAUUCAGUCGCGACCACAGAGGAGUACGGCUCAGUGCCUCAUUAUUCGUAUACGGAGUAGGGUGCCUCAUCAAAAAUGAACACAGGAAUCAAAUGCGAUUCAAGAAAAUUUCUUACAUGGGCGAUUUUAAUGUUGAAGCGAAGACUUCAAGCCGAAUUUAUUGUCGAAUGAUGUGAUAAAUCCAAUUAUUGAUUUGUGAAGAUCGAAUAGAAAUAUGUUCGUCAACUGAAUAAUGUUUUUUGACUAAAUUUUAUAUAGUAAUUUUCGUCAUUUUAUUUCAAAUCUCUAAUAAAAUUGUUUACACGGAAGGUCUUCACAGGAAAUUACUCGUCAUUUUCGGAAUAGAAUAUCGGAAAUAAUGGAACAUUUACUCGGUACACUCGUUCAUUCAAAUGCUCGUUAAUUGAAAGCAUUUUGUAAAAAAAUGUUACGUUUUAUUAGAAUUGAAUAUUGUAUUUUAGAGCUACGUAUUUAGGCGGUUCGGCGACUUUUCAUCAUGCGACUUUGAGAGAACUACAACAACAUAACACUUUUUAGCAUUUACUUAAGUAGUUAGAAUGAACCAUAGCCAAACUGUAUGAAUGUAUACAUAGUGAAAUAAUCGGUAUCUCAAGUCACAGAAAUCAGAAUCCCGAAAUUUGUAAAUUUAAGUAUGAUUUUUUGCCAACACUAACAUGUAGUGUUAUAAUGUUUGUUCUGAUGUAGAAUACAUAAUUGAUAGUUGGAUUAAAAUAACUUCCGUUCUCAAUCUUCCAACAAAGCAGUGUUGGUUCAGUCCGAAAUUCUAGUGCAUGAUUAGGCAAUAGUUUGACAAAGGAGUUCUUAGCACAGACUAAGUACUAACUUAUAGAAGUUUGUAGUGUGCUCUCAUAUAUAUGUAUAUCUAAUAUGUUAUAAAAUGCAAAUAUUGUUUUAUAGAUUUUUAGUUUACGAGUUUUAUAGAUUUUUAAAUUUAAUUUAAAAUCUUUAUUUGGUUUAUUCAAUCGAUAGUGCUUAUUUUUAGAAUACGGAAACAUUUGUAGGCUAGUUCGACGCCCCCAUGGCCACAUUUUCACUGUUGCAUGCAAUGCUAAGCCGAGCAGGCGAUCUUAGCUAAACUUCUAAGUUUACUAAGUUGUGUUAACUUAAAGCUUAGUUUAAAUUUAAUUAUCUGUUGUCGGUCUCGCACCUACAACACAAUGGCUGGCUGGCGCAGUGUUAACGGGCCAAAAUUAAUGUUGUCUAUCAGACUUCAGCUUUAAUCAAAGUGAGAGGUAGGGUCAAUGUGGACAAGAGACAUGGUGUUAGAUUUUCUGUGUUGCUAUUACAAAGGAUCGUGUACAAUUAAAUGUAAUACAAUUUGACUUUCAACGUUAAAGUUCGGAAUAAAUAAAACAGAAAGGGUCUGACUGAACAUUUCUCGGAAUUUCUGCGGUCCCUCUUAAUGGGUCACCUCUUAGGCUUCAAAGCUCUCAAUUUAUUACGGAUUUAAUUUUUUAACCCGAAUUGAUUCGACAAUCCUCUUUGCAUUUUCGAUUUGGUUUUAUUUUACAUUCGCGGUUGAAAAGCUUUUAACUGAAAAAUAUACGUCGAAAAAUCUCGCACUGUUUUGAUUGGUUCCAUGUUACUAAUCUAUAGUAACUGCGAAUUGAAGAAUUGCUAAUUAAAAUGUAAAAACUCGUGUUUUAAACUAAAUAAAAUAGAACAUUGUAUCAAAAAGUUUUCUUUUAACAAAUACGUGACAGACAAAAUUGGCCAUUUUUAUUUCAUCUAUUUUUAUUUACGAAUUAUGGACUCGUGGAGUAAAAGCAUUGUGUUUUUAAAAUAAAGGGGCGAUCGGCAAGAAGUGACGUGAGUUGCAAAUAAUGGAUACCUCUAGAUCAGAGGCCAAGACCCUUUUUGCGUCGUUGAGCCAGCGAAUUAAAAAAAUCCGUACAAGUAUUGUCCAAAUUUUAUCGGUGAAGUCAUGCAUGAAGAAGUUCUUUGCGUGCCGACGGUACACACACUUUUUUUCAUCAAAAUCCUCACACACUGCCUCAACCAAGUUUUUGGUUAUAAAGUGUUUGGUAAUAAAGUCAAUAAGAAGAAAUCAAGGACCACAAUUACUAUAAUGGACCUAUAUAAAGUGAGUUUAACUCACAAGAAUAAUAAAACAAAAAUCCCUGUCAAACUUUGAAUCCACUUUGAUGAUUGGCUUUCUCCGUUUCUUGUAAAAAGAGCUAUUACGAGUUUGCUCAUUGUAAUUUGACCUCUUAGUAAAUUUAUCGUUGUUGGGUUUCAAGUUUUCUUUCAGAAUGUUUUAUUUUUAGAUCUAAAAUCCUGCUGGUGUAAGUAGAUCUUAUACUAAGUCUGUGGGUACAUAAAAUGGAUUUUGAGCAAGGGCGUAAUUUAUUACAUAGAGUACAUUACUACACAAAAGUGUAAGUAUAAAGUGUUGUUUAAACAUUAAUUUGAAUUUAAACUGUAAUUUUGCUGAAUAUACAUUAUUUUUUUUAUUUAUUAAAGUGGGUUAACAAAAUUAGUAACAUUUUAUAUAGAUCGCCGCUUCACACUGACCAUUACAAUUCUGUAUAGCAUUCUUGCGUCCUACGAUGAAUGGGAGGAAAGAAUUAUGGUAAAAGUUCCUAAUUCUAAUAAAUUUAUAUUAGAUUUUUGAUGUAAUGGAUCUGAUGCCACCAUCUUUUUAGGGCGUAUAGAUUGUCUCCUUACAAAACAUCGAAUAUCUCACCUAGCCUCCAGAGAGAAAGAUGUUCACCGAAGCAAUAAGGUUCGCUUUGGAGCUCACGGAACUGCUAUUAAAGUACAUUAUUUCCUUGUAAACAAACUCCAGAUAGUUAUGGAAACAGAUGGACGUUUUGAAAACGAAAUUCUGGCAGCUCCUUUAUACGAUAUGUCAAUAGAAAACAAAUAGGUAGGUCGUAUAGGUUCAAGAUACCUGGAUAUUAGUGAAAUAAAAUCUCUUAAAAAUAUUCGAACCCAUAAUUCCUUCGGAUAAUUUUAAAUUUCUGUCGUAAAAAUACACGCUUCAGAAACGCUGAAUACUUUUUAAAUUAAAUUCAACAUUACUUGCACAUAGCAAACGUAUUUGUCUAACUAUCUACUACUAGACUUCUGCAUAAAUGUACAAAUAUUGUACACGCUCACUAUUACGUCACUGCUAAGGCAUUCUUUUGACAGACUGCAGAAACACACGCAAUGUAAAGUGUGCUUUUAGAAAUAGUGUAAAUGUAAAUAUAGGAAGGUGAGCAUUAAGUGCUUUUUUGUUGUUACACGUGGAUGUUAUCGCAAUCCGACUACUGCAUUUUAAAAAUUGUAUAUUAGAACAUAAAUUCUAAUAACGCUUGGCUGAGCCGCAUUUAUAUGUUGUGUUGUGAUGCAUCGGAAUGGUAUCUUGUAUGAAAUAGUGUGAAAAUAUUCGCAUUUGUGUGGCGCAACUUUUUCCCUGCCACGUAAUCCAUAUAUAAUACCACACAUCAGACCUCAACACAACACGAUAGCAAUGUUUGCACAAAUGUGGUUUUAUGUUAGAAUGUCAAAAUAAAUCUACUUUGCUGGUCUGGAGCGGAAUUCCACCAACCUAACAUCUUAACGGAACCUUCGAGUUUCGCAACUCUUGCCUUUGUCGACUCCGUAAAGACGUGAAUGCUGUGUCUGUUGUACAUUAAGAAUGCAAUAAAUGAUUUGAUUUAGAUUUUGACAAAAUUCCUUUUUUCGACAGUUUGUACAAGUUAUUUUUUACAUGCAAUAUUAGAAUUACACUUAACAUUUCACAUUAAAGUUAUAAAUUAAUGUAGAGAAAUAUUCCAGCAGAAUCAUUAUUAUUUUUUUCCUUAAGAAACAUCGCAUCCAAGGGAAAACUUUCGAACAGUCUACCAUCGAUAAAGUUUCGUAUUUUGAAAAAUUGUAUCCCCAAAUAUACAAGUUUUGGUCUUUUGAAGCCCCUUCGAAGCUGAUUUAUUCUUUUUAUGAACUUAUAUACCGUUUGGAAGUUUGUAAAAUAAUGUAUACCUGCAAAGUUUGUUUACUAUCUUCGUUUUCAAAACAUGUAUAACUAUUUGAUUGUGUGUGUGGUACUACUUACAGUUUAAUGAAUGAAGUAUCUGAUGAUGGUGCAACCGUGUGACAAAGUAAUAUCGUAGUCCCAGUAGCUUGAACUUCUGGUUCUGUUGUUGGUCUCGAUAUUGCUUAUUUAUUGGAAAAAAAUUGUACAAAUCUUUGACUUAAUUGGUAUUCUCUGCCAGUCAACUAUUAGUCCCAACAAAAAGUUAGACCAAAGAUACUUGGAUGUUGUUACAACAACUAACUUGUGUUGCCGAAAAAUCUGUAGAUCGAUCUACAGAUCAAUUAUAUCUCUCUCACCUUGAACAACAUGUAAACUAUCAAAUAGUUGCGUCAGUUCCAAUACUAUCGAUAAUAUUCAUAUUAGGAUGGAGCGAAGAAAAUCCAUAAUUUUUACAAACUACUUUUAAUAUCGAAGGUUCCUAAAUAAAUUUCCUCCAUUAGCUAAAAUACGAGUAGUAGUUUUGUCCAGAGGGAAAGUGAUUAUUAAACUUAAAAAUUAUAUAUGGUGUUGGCUAUACUAAUAGUUGUAAGGAAAUUGUCCAUUUCUGAAACGCAGCCGUUCUAAUAUUUAGCGGUGCUUAUCGGUAUACUGCCUUUCGAGAUCAAAACAAUUUACGAUAUUGAUUUCCAAAGAUUAUUAUGCAGUAUGUACAUUUUUAUUAUUAUGUUAAAUUACGUUCAUUAAUUUACAAUACUAUCAUAAAAAUCUUGCAUCACCAGAAUAUUUCUUGUUUGAGGCACGGCGCUCCCAUGCACUGCAAAGAAAAUCUUUAUUUAUAACAAAACUCUCAUUAACUUGCUUCCGGGGAAGAAAAACAUCGUGAGGAAUCUUGCAUUUUCUGAUUGUUUCGAUUAAUAAUGUGAUACGAAAUCUUACGUCGUUUGCUUAAAGAAAAUAUAUGGCUUUAGUAUCAAUAAUAACACUACACACACUGUCUAUAUGUUUGUCAGUAUAUGUUAUAAAACAUAGUUUAGUUGAGUUACUAUUCCGUAGCACAAGUUUCGAACUUUAGCCCUAAAGCCCAAUACUUGUAUAUAGUCAAUCUGUGUGAUUUAUUUAAUAAAUAUAAUGAUAUUUAUUUACGUCGGGAAUUUAGGCGUAAACCCAUUUCGGUUUAUAUUGACCCACUUCUGUCACUUUUGCAUAUCCUUGUCGAAGGCCAUGAGUUGGUCGCAAACUUACCAUCACUUUGCAGUUUAAGCCUUUACACUGUGGAAAUCACAUUUUAAAUUAGAUAAAUAAGAUGAAUUUAUCUAUAUUUUUUAUUUAAUAUAAAUUGAACGUUUCAAUAUUAACUCUGUUUUUAAAUGCGGUCGUGGUUCUUGCUUUUGGUGUUUAAAUUUGUUUGACAAACACAAACUCCCUUAAACCUAUGUAAGUAUUCAAUAAGGUCUUGAACAAACUUGGAAGUCCCUUAUGCCAGACAGGACAAAAUACGACUAAAAGUUGUCAGUUCCAGGAAUAAAAAAUAUGACUUACAAAAGAUUUACAAUUGUUGCCUCGACACUGAAAAAGUUUACAAAUCUUAUUAUUCAUGAUAAACAGGCUACUUUUUUUAAAUACCUUAUAUUUUCCGUAAAAAUAUUAUAAAUAUGCUCAGUAAAAAUAAAGAAUUCGUAUAAUAUGGAUGUUUCAAAUAUAUUUUUUACAAAAUACUUCCAAUAGAGUUAAAAAUUCAGAACAAAAGCUAGUAAAAACUGUCCAAUUUUAAAUACUACAUUUCAUUAAGUAAUUGUUUUUCUAGACUUUAGAAGACCUUUAAGAUGAAUGGUUUCCCAGAAAGACUGACUCCUUUUUCAGAAGUAAACAAUUCGAAGAAAAAACAAAGUUGGUAUUUUCUAUUAUUUAAAGACGAAAAGCUCUAUAGGACCUAAAAUCGAAUCUAUAAAGCAUUGUUAUGUUAUGUAUGGACCCUUAUACAUCCGACGCACCCUGGGCUACAAUCUACGUGGACGAUUUAGUCGGUAAUGCAAAUUGGUCGUUCCUUUCACCACGCUAUGGCAAUAUUUUUUUUUUAAAUAUCUUUUUAUGGCAUAGGACGGCAAACGAGCGGUGCAGAAACAAUUAUUCUUUUUUUUAACAUCACAUCAUCUAAUUUAAGAAUGAAGCUUUUGUCGGUGGAGUUCCUUCCACUGUUUCUCUAUCCAAACCUAAUCCAUAACAUCACUUUGUAACGAAGGCCCUGAUUUAAAAUUUGCCCAGAAAAACUUGCUAUAGUAUAAUUUCUCAAUAAAUGUUUUGACUUCGUCGGAUUUUUACUCCAAGGAAGGGUUUAACGAUAUAUUUCUAAUGUGAAACAUAUUUGGUGUAGGUACUUUAUGCAAAGUUUGUUAUAUUACUGGAAAAAAAUAUGAAAAAUAAUAAUGCUAAGCCUUUGUUAGCCAUUCUUAUAUGAUAGGUAGGAUACCUACCCUAAAAAUACGGAUAAACUCAUGUAAACAAUUGUUUACAUAAGUUUCAUUUCUUCUCAGUAAGUGGUUUUAAUUGAUAGCUUCAAUAAAUUUAAUUUAGAAUAUGACGUCAAAAAGUGUCUGUGAUGUUCUUAAUUUCUGAAUCCAUUCUUUUAUCAAGUUUAUCAAUAUUUUCAGGUGUUAACUCUUCUCUUGCCUUGAGAGCCUUGCCUUUUUGUAUUGCUGCAACACAGACGCUUUCCUUCCUUUUUUCUGUAUUUUCGUUUCUGCAUUUUUUGUGUCUAGAUAUGUAUUUAUUGUUUUUAUAAUAAAUGUGUUAUCUAUAUAGUGAAAUUACUUUUAGAUGUACAGAUAAAACGCUUUGCUUUGAGAGGCUCUUGCCCAAUAGUGUAAAUAGUUAAAAAUGAACUUAUCGCUAUAGUGAUUUAUUUUGUGUCAGU